ACCAUCCUGGCAAGAAUGUUAUUGAGGCUCAUAUGGAGGCUGUGCAUGCAGACUGGAAGGAGUACCUGAACCUGCUCAUCUGUGAGGAGAACCACCUGAAACACAUGGACGAGUACCACAAGUUCCACAAAGAGGCCCGGGACACCCAGGACCUUCUGAAGAGGAUGGACAAAGAGGUGGACCAGAAGUACAAACCAGAGUUCAAGGACAUGUACCAGAUGGAGAGCCUCAUCAGAGACCUGGACGUGA